GGAGGAGUGGCAGAGCGGACGAAUGCGGCGGUCUUGAAAACCGUUGUGCCCUUCGGGGCACCGUGGGUUCGAAUCCUACCUCCUCCG
rnacentral:tRNA from 1 species